rnacentral:lncRNA from 1 species
UCUUGCCCCAUAAAUGUGGGUCUCAGCCCUCUAAGUGUGGGCCAGGGACCCCUAAGUGUGGGCCUCAGCCCCCUAAGUGUGGGUCCUGCCCCGUAAGUGUGGGCCAGGGCCCAAGAAGCAUGGAUCUUGCGCCAUAAAUGUGGGUCUCAGCCCCAUAAGUGUGGAUCCUGCCCCAUAAAUGUGGGUCCUGCCCCAUAAGUGUGGGUCAGGGACCCCUAAGUGUGGGUCUCAGCCCCAUAAGUGGAGGUCUCACCCCAUAAGUGUGGGUCCUGGCCCCAUAAAAGUGGGUUUCAGUGUCAUUAGUGUGGGUCUUGGCUCCAUAAAUAUCAGUCUCAGCCCCAUAAGUGGAGGCCUUAGCCCCCUAAGUGUGGGUCUCACCCCAUAAGUACAGGUCUCAGCCCCAUAAGUGUGAAUCCUGCCCCAUAAGUGUGGGUCAGGGACCCCUAAGCGUGGGUCUCAGCCCCCUAAGUGUGGGUCUGACCCCAUAAGUGUGCCCCCAGUGCCCCCUCCCCUUGGUAGCCCAGUCCCCACACUUGGUAGCCCAGCAGCCACACUUGGUAGCCACCAUUGC